GCAUGAAAGGUAAUGGAGAAGCUGUCAUGCACCUGCUUUGGCUCCAUGUGGUAGAUGAGGAGAGUGCUCUUCCUAUUAUGCACCUGCUGUUUGGGCUGCUCCUUGCAGAGAUAACCCCGAAUCUGUCAGGUCAGCAGGAGGCUUCUUCCUUCCCUAAGGCAUCAAUUUAGAGGUCUGAACAUCAGAGAAGCAUGGCUCCCUGCAGAGAGUGCAUCAGCCCUGGGGUGAACCUUGUUGGUUUCAGCCAACUUCGAGACCUCAUCUUAAUGGCCACAACAGGAGCAGCUAGGACUGGAGUCCCAAGUUGACUCGGAAGCAAGAGAAGUGAACCAGAGGACUGAGCAUGCCUAAAUCUCCUGUGGAGAAUCUCCAGACUUAACAGGAUAUGUGUGCCAUGUGGGAUUAUUUGCUGCGCUCAAACCAGCAGUGGAAUAAUGUUACCUCUGGAUUACAAGUCUACUGAUGUCACUGCACUCCCAAUUGUGUUAAAACUCAGACAAAAGACAUACAUUCUCUGCCAAAAGGUUCUAUCUUGUCCCCAUUCAUCUCAGUGUCUAUUUUCUCAAAUUUAGCAACAGAAGUUAAAUUAUUGAAAUCAAAUUAUUUCAUGUCUCUCAUUUUUCUGGCAGGCGCAUAAUGGCUAUUGACAAUGAGCUGUCGAUCAAGUUUUAGAAAGAACCAUCAGCAGUAGGCAGGAGAAAGAUUCAAGGGAUUUCCAGCAAAAGCUGAAAAUAUCUCUAAUGAAAGGCUGAGUGAAAUCUUUUCCUAAUGAAAGCACCAACUUGUAACCAGAAACUGUGUGCUUUCAGAGUGCCUUAGCCUGGCAUUUUUCUUAUCAUCUCCAGCUGAAAGAUGAUGUAUCUCAGACUCACACUGCAAUUUAAUUGGUGUCCAUAUGGCUUUCUGCACAGUGUUUUAGAGGCUGAAUUUGAAUACAUAGUUUCCUCUUGACUGAAAGUGCUUUAUAUAAAGCAGAAAUGUGAUGUAUUUGAAUGAUGUUGGCUUCUGAUCAGCCCAUGCCACGUAGCCUCAUGAUUUAUGUGUUUGACAAGAUCAGAAUAAAAAAAAGGGAGCAAAAUGCUGGCUUGAGUUCCUUUGAGACA